rnacentral:rRNA from 1 species
AGAGUUUGAUCAUGGCUCAGAUUGAACGCUGGCGGCAGGCCUAACACAUGCAAGUCGAGCGGUAGAGAGAAGCUUGCUUCUCUAGAGAGCGGCGGACGGGUGAGUAAUGCCUAGGAAUCUGCCUGGUAGUGGGGGAUAACGUUCGGAAACGGACGCUAAUACCGCAUACGUCCUACGGGAGAAAGCAGGGGACCUUCGGGCCUUGCGCUAUCAGAUGAGCCUAGGUCGGAUUAGCUAGUUGGUGAGGUAAUGGCUCACCAAGGCGACGAUCCGUAACUGGUCUGAGAGGAUGAUCAGUCACACUGGAACUGAGACACGGUCCAGACUCCUACGGGAGGCAGCAGUGGGGAAUAUUGGACAAUGGGCGAAAGCCUGAUCCAGCCAUGCCGCGUGUGUGAAGAAGGUCUUCGGAUUGUAAAGCACUUUAAGUUGGGAGGAAGGGUUGUAGAUUAAUACUCUGCAAUUUUGACGUUACCGACAGAAUAAGCACCGGCUAACUCUGUGCCAGCAGCCGCGGUAAUACAGAGGGUGCAAGCGUUAAUCGGAAUUACUGGGCGUAAAGCGCGCGUAGGUGGUUUGUUAAGUUGGAUGUGAAAUCCCCGGGCUCAACCUGGGAACUGCAUUCAAAACUGACUGACUAGAGUAUGGUAGAGGGUGGUGGAAUUUCCUGUGUAGCGGUGAAAUGCGUAGAUAUAGGAAGGAACACCAGUGGCGAAGGCGACCACCUGGACUAAUACUGACACUGAGGUGCGAAAGCGUGGGGAGCAAACAGGAUUAGAUACCCUGGUAGUCC